UACGAGAGGUCCAAACGUUAUUCGGAAUCACUGGGCUUACAGAGUUCGUAGGCGGUACGGAAAGUGGGUUGUGAAAGCCCUCGGCUCAACCGAGGAACUGCGCUCCAAACUACCGUGCUAGAGGAAGAUAGAGGUGAGCAGAACUGAUGGUGGAGCGGUGAAAUGCGUUGAUAUCAUCAGGAAUACCGGAGGCGAAGGCGGCUCACUGGGUCUUUUCUGACGCUGAGGAACGAAAGCUAGGGGAGCAAACGGG
rnacentral:rRNA from 1 species